rnacentral:rRNA from 1 species
GAUGAACGCUGGCGGCGUGCCUAAUACAUGCAAGUCGAGCGAACAGACGAGGAGCUUGCUCCUCUGACGUUAGCGGCGGACGGGUGAGUAACACGUGGAUAACCUACCUAUAAGACUGGGAUCACUUCGGGAAACCGGAGCUAAUACCGGAUAAUAUAUUGAACCGCAUGGUUCAAUAGUGAAAGACGGUUUUGCUGUCACUUCUAGAUGGAUCCGCGCCGCAUUAGCUAGUUGGUAAGGUAACGGCUUACCAAGGCGACGAUGCGUAGCCGACCUGAGAGGGUGAUCGGCCACACUGGAACGGAGACAAGGUCCAGACUACUACGGGAGGCAGCAGUAGGGAAUCUUCCGCAAUGGGCGAAAGCUUGACGGAGCAACGCCGCGUGAGUGAUGAAGGUCUUCGGAUCGUAAAACUCGGUUAUGAGGGAAGAACAAAUGUGUAAGGAAAUAUGCACGUCUUGACGGUACCUAAUCAGAAAGCCACGGCUAACUACGUG